UGCGCCAUUUCCUGCUCUCCCGGGCCGUCCCCCCGGCCUUGGAACGGAAAACCGCGCCUGAAACAGACGAUUAGCAGAAAAGCUCUUUCGGCCACGUUGUCCCGGGAAAAGGAGGAAAAGCCCAGAACGUGAAAGACGCCCACCGCUCCGUGAGAUGUGUUCCCUGACACCAGAGGUGGUCCGGGGUCACACCGUCGGGAGGGAGCAGAGUCAGGAUUUGAACCCAGGCAGCCGACCUGACCCCACCACCCCGACCCACGGCGCCGCGCCUGGAGCACAGGCCUUACUAACCCAAGGAUCGGUGGAGUCUACACGAGGGAAGCCCCAAGAACGGCAAUUCGACCCUGGGGGGCGCGGAGGGCGCAGGACGAAGGGGGGCAGGGUCGGACACACGCAGGUUUGCUGCCCACCCCCCACCCAUCCCCGGGAAGGCCAGCGGGAGGCCUGGGACGCGGUGGUUCCAGGCUAAACGCAGAUCACACCUGCGGUUGAGUCCCGGCCCCACCCUGCCCCUGGCCACGACUCUCUCGACCCUCUUGUCCGCGACGCCCCGGCUGUUCCUGUCUGUAGCUGGGGAGAGGGCGAUCUGCCUUUAAGCGCAGCUCCAGGUUAACGGGACUGUCAAGAAGUUACCAUCCUCUAAUUGAAAAAAUAAAUAAAAUAAGAGUACAA